AACCUCCGCAAUGUACGAAAGUGCGACGGGGGGAUCCCAAGUGUUAUGCUUUUUUGUAUAACUUUUCAUUAGUGUAAAAAGCUUUUAGAAUAAGAGCUGGGCAAGACCGGUGCCAGCCGCCGCGGUAACACCGGCAGCUCGAGUGGUAGCUGUUUUUAUUGGGCCUAAAGCGUUCGUAGCCGGUUUGAUAAGUCUUUGGUGAAAGCUUGUAGCUUAACUAUAAGAAUUGCUGGAGAUACUAUCAGACUUGAAGUCGGGAGAGGUUAGAGGUACUACCGGGGUAGGGGUGAAAUCCUAUAAUCCUGGGAGGACCACCUGUGGCGAAGGCGUCUAACUGGAACGAUCUUGACGGUGAGUAACGAAAGCCAGGGGCGCGAACCGGAUUAGAUACCCGGGUAGUCCUGGCCGUAAACGAUGUGGACUUGGUGUUGGAAUGGCUUUGAGUUGUUCCGGUGCCGAAGGGAGCUGUAAGUCCACCGCCUGGGAAGUACGGUCGCAAGACUGAAACUUAAAGGAAGU
rnacentral:rRNA from 1 species